CGCGAACCGGCCUCCCGGGAGUCCUCGUGUCCCGCGGACAGCUGCGACUUCUGCCUGAAGCUCUGUGAUGGGCACAGGCGGGGACCAUGUCUUCCCCCAUUCUGUCCUAGGUGCGCCCUAGGUGAGCUGUCCGUUCCUGCUUUCCCAUUCCAGCCUGGAGUUCCUGCCCUGACUUCCCUUCAUGGUAUGUAAACUGAAGGAUGAAACAAACUCUUUCUUCCCCAAGUUGCUUUUGGUCAUGAAGGUUAUCACGCAAGAGAAACUAACUAAGAGACUGACCUAGUUCACUUGGGAAAUAUUCCAGUGUUUCAAAAUGCCAUCUUCUAAAUGCAGCAUACUGCUGGUACAUGUCAAACAUCUCAGAAGUGAAAAGCAUGGCUUCCUGACCACCCACACCCGCAGUCACCUCCAGGAUCAAGUCACUCUCAUCUGUUUCUUCUGAAGGAACCAAAAGUGAGAUGAUCUGUAAAUACAAAGACAGCACCUUCCUGAAACUAAGAACUAUUCAACCUAAUGCCCAAAGCUACAAAAUUAGAGAAUUUAGAUAUGUAACCUACAUCAUUUAAUAUUACUCUUCAAUAUAGUUUGCUCAUCUUGCUAAUUAAAAAUGUAUAAUGCAAACUUC